rnacentral:lncRNA from 1 species
UUGACAGUUUGGCUUCCCUGUUCUGGGUGGCAAAGCCUGUGGAGUACUCACCUACCUGCUGCAUGAAGGCAGCAUGGAGGGACUGUGGUGGAUUAUCUGCAAAGAUGGCCAAAAUUCUCUCAUCCCUGCAGGCACAUACAAGAUGCCAGAAUCAGUCAAAACUAAGCUCACUGUCCUUGCUAAUAUUCUGCCCCAGAGAAGAACUGAAGCUCAGCUCUUCACCCUACAGAAAGCCUGAAUUUUGUAAAUGUUCUGCUUAGAAUGAGGAAGAAAGAUGAAGAAUGAGGAGGAAGAAGGAAGGAACGAGAGAGAGCCAGGUUUCCAGAAGUUCCCCAGUCAUUGAGCAUUUCUGAGGCUCUUGAUGCAUAUGCCAAGUAGUUAUGGAGAAAGACACAGCAGCUUACCUCUGCAGGCAUCAUUGUGUGAAAGGAAGACCCAGGCUCUCUCACCACCCUUGAACAGAAGCCUUUUGCUAAGGUGAUAGCUACAUGUCCAAGCCUAUUGCGUGGCAUGCAUUUUGCCUUCUGCAGCCCACUAAAGGUGAGCAGUAAAUGUGUUUGCUAUUUCCCCAAAAGGAAAUUGAAGUAUACAGAAUGCUUAUUUGGUCUACUCAGUAUCAUCCUAAAUGUAUGUACCAAUGCUUAGGAGUUUGCAGUUCACCCGCAAACCUCAGCGAUCCAAGCUCCCCUGGAUGACCAUCACUCACCAAGAAAAGAGCAAUAACAGGACCUGUUUUGCUAAUCCAGGACUGUUCUCCAGCACUAACUCUAAAUAAUCCCUUCUGCUAGA